ensembl:snRNA U2 U2 spliceosomal RNA
AUCGCUUCUCAGCCUUUUGGCUAAGAUCAAGUGUAGUAUCUAGUUUUACAUUUGUUUCCUGAGCAUUUUGCGUCUUAUCCAAGAAGUCACUAUCUUGAAAUAUUUCCUCUGCGUUGUCUGUUAUUAAACUCAGGUCGCUGUUGCAUAUUGAGUUGAAUUUUG